rnacentral:rRNA from 1 species
UACAGAGACUGCAAGCGUUACUCGGAUUCACUGGGCGUAAAGGGAGCGCAGGCGGAAUCGUGUGUCGGAUGUGAAACCCGGGGGCUCAACUCCCGGACUGCGUCUGAAACUGCGAUUCUAGGGACUCGGAGGGGCUAGUGGAAUUCUUGGUGGAGCAGUGAAAUGCGUAGAUAUCAAGAGGAACACCAACGGCGAAGGCAGCUAGCUGGACGAGAUCCGACGCUCAGGCUCGAAAGUAUGGGGAGCAAAAAGGAUUAGAUACCCUUGUAGUCCAUACUGUAAACGAUGUCGACUAGGUCUUGGGGCAUUCGAACGCCCCAGGGCUCAAGCUAACGCAAUAAGUCGACCGCCUGAGGACUACGGUCGCAAGACUAAA